UGCAAUGCAAACGUUUUUCGGGGAUCGAUGAAGUUUACGUGGAGAAAUACCGACUUUCGUUAGCUUCUGCUUUGUUUUUCCUGACUAUGGCAACAAUGGAGCUGGUGUGGGAUGAUGAUGCGCCUCCUGACGGUUCAUUCUUCACCAGAGAUCUCUAUGACAAACAUUCACUUGCACCACAUAUCAGAGAACUUUGGGCCUUCCUUCAAAGUCCUGCAGAGAACACCGGCGUAAAUCAAGAGUGUGAGGAGUCUGCGGAAGAUUGCAGUGCUCCUUCCCGAAAAAGUGCUGCCAAGUUAAAAGGCAGCCAAGCGUCUGGCUGGGAGAGCUGUGACAGUGAUGACAAUGACUCAGAGGAGCCAAAAAAGAGGAAGAGAGAGAGAAUGUCCUUCAAAAAGACUGAGAGGGAGAUAGAUGUUGCUUUUCCUGAACCCAGGGUGCCCUAUCCCUGCUUGUCCAGCCUGUCUAUCAAAGAUCAGAAAACCUAUGUUGGUUAUUUGAUGAACACAAAGAGCAGGAGUCUUCCGAAGAACUUGAUAUUGCGAAUAAACAAUGAAGUUGUACAGUUCACGAAGUACCUGCAGGAUGUUGCUAAAAUGUGUGCUGAUGACUACAACUUCAUAACACAAGGAGCUAUGCAGUAUACAGAGGAGUUUUUUACAGCGUGUUUAGAGUCUGUGAAGGCACUUCCUCAGUUUUACCAGAUUGAUGAAGUGACCAGUUUGACAGGAGGAACGUUUAAUCCAGGACUGGCUCUGACAUUUGAGAAGCAGCUGCUGACAAUGGGCACUGUGAACAUCACCGACCACAAGAUGGUGCCUGCUGAUGCACAGCUUGCAUCCGAUUAUCACAGUGUUUCAUCAGCGACUCCUCCAGCUAAGAAAGCCAAGGACAAGCAUGCUAGGAUCAGCAGUGACGGAAAUACAGAAAAACUGUGUGCUUAUUAUGAACCUCAUGUCUGUCUGACACGAGAUGCCUUGGUAAGGCUGCUGGACAACCACGGCCCAGACUUUGGGGACCAAUGGGAACUGCCUGUUUUGGUGAAAAUAACACCAGGAGAAGGAAGCAGUAAAAGGAAGACUGUGUACAUAGACUCACCUCUACUGAAGCGUGAAGUGACAAUAAGAGAGAGGAGUCACAUCUUUUAUGAAGAAAGUCUGAAGCUCUCCAUCACGACAAAUGGAAGUAAAAAAGUCUUCCAUCUAAUGACCGAGCGGCCCGCACUUGAGCAGCAGCACUCACAGGAGGCCUCCGUGAGAGGUUGUGUGUCUGUGGAAAACAAAGGCCUUGACUUUGAGGUGGACCUUACUGACCUGGAGACUUUUGGAGAAACUACGACUAAAACGCCACAGAUAAAGAAAUCACAGAGUCUGCAGGAUGAAGACGUUCAAAGUAGUGGAUCUUCAAGAACCCCAGUUGUGACCAAGCAAAAAAAUUCCAAUAAAACACUCAAAGUUAGCAGCUUUUCAACGGGAGGAAUUAACUGUGCUUCUAAAAACAAAAAAAAUACCAGAACAGAAACAAGUCAGCUAAAAGUGAGUGAGCCUGACUUACAAAAGACUGAAUCGUCCGGCUCUGACCAAAAAUGUGAUAAAGACGAAGGCUUUAUGGCAGAUUCAGAUGAUGAAAAGCUGAUCAUUGAUGAGAAGCGGAUCAUUAAUGAGACCGGUUCUUCAGUAGCAUUGCCCACAAAUCAGUCAGAACCCUUGACUACAACAUGCUCUGCAGACUCUUCAGUUACAUCUUCCGAUCAGUCCAUCCCUGCAAAUACAGUCUCCUCUCCGCCUUGUAAGCGUACAAGGUCUAAACGAACUGCCAGACAAACAAAUGCACCUGAGGAUCAACUAGGGGAGAUCCUGCGCAUGCAAACAGCCAUGUUCAAGUCCGGCAGUGAACCAGCUCCUGCCGUUAAGUCCCCAAGCCGCUGUGUUGGGCCCCAGCUCAACCCUCAUACAACUUCCCUGGUUAAGCCGUGUGUGUCGUCAUACUUAGAAAGACACCAGAAUGAGGAUGCCGAGAGCCGUGUUGUUCUUCCUGAAUCUGCACUUGUUAACAUCAGUCCUACAGAGCGCAAAAAAAUACUUUCAGAAAACCUUCAGGCUUGUGCAGAAGAUGAACAAGACUAUGAAGCUCCACUGGAGGGGAAUCUGCUUUACAAGCUUUACAGUCUGCAAGACCUCCUGGUAAUGGUGCGCAGCUCUGUGUCUCUGACCCAUACAAGAAAAGUAGGCAACAACCAGAACCAGCAUGUGCCAGUUUAUGUUUUACCCAAAUUGGAGUACCAGCUUUCUUACGGUGUUGAAUGUCUAACGAACAGCGAGGCAUGCCAGCUGUGGACGGAGACGUCGCUUCACUCCAGCACAGUGCCUUACAUUGCUCACAUCAAUGCACACACAUCUAAAGUUGCUCUGUUGAGGAAGUUGCCUGACGACUGGAUCCAGAACAUCUCCUGUGGGUUCAAGGCUCUCCUCUUGGGUGGGAGGACGGGAGGAGUUGUACCUGUGAUUGUCCUGGGGCCGCCAUACUCUGGGGGGCCUGUGGAUGUCUGGGAUUUGAUCUCUUCUGUGUUUGCCCUACUAUUGAACAUUCAUAUAGUGAAACCUUCCAUAGAGUCCAUACCUUUUCACUUAAUUAUGCUCAUGUGCAUUUUGACUGGCAGAGGGUACUCAAAACCAGGACUCUGAGAAACAGUGAAAAGGCAAAAAAGUUUGUCUUUCUAACGUCACAAAAUCAAGCAAUCAUUGUGGAUACUUUUAUAAAUCUCUGUAUAAACUGUGAAAUGAUUCAUAGAAGUUGUAAUCCUACUGGAUUAUGAUGAAGGGAGCUGCAGUUUGUCUUUUGCCUCUGUAAAAAACCGAGUUUUCUCAUCUGUACUUGCUACUUGAAAACACUGUGACCCAAAAAAACAGUAAUGGUGUUUUGAUGGUGGAACAUAUAGAACAAGGAAUGCCUUGUGAUGAUAAAAUUGCUGCUGGUCUUCUGGACGCUGUCUUAGUUUGAGCUGUUACAACCUAAUUUAGUUCUCGCUAUACUUUUAGACUCUAAACUACAAUCAGUAGCAUUAGUCUUGCAUUACACAAGUACAUUAUUGCUCUCUUAGAGUACAGUUUAAGGUGUUUCUAAAUAAGAAUUUGUCAGAAAAUGCUAAAGGCAGUAGUGUGUGGGAUGUGCUUCUGUUUCUCUGUUGCUACAUUGAUGUUGAUUGUGACACUGCUGUGUUGAGUAAUUAGGCUGGAGAGCACUGACCUGCAGCUUUUGGUGGAAUCACAGUUAGCAUCACAUGCAGCUGUCAUGCUCUGAGUUUGUCAUCCCAGUGUUGAAAUUAGUAUCUAAGCAUAAAUUAUGCAGAGGAAAGAAAUGGUAAUUUCUUUUCUGCUCACAGGCCUUCCAAGUCUCUGAAUAUUCUGCAUCACCUACUGAAAAAGCUAUCUGGGUUGGACGAAGGUCAAUACUUGAUUGUGCACAAAACUGGAGAGGCGUUUGUCACUCUGCUGAAAGCAGGAGGU